CACGGGCGCCCGACAUGAGAGAGGGAGUGACCUUAACGUUAGCAGAAAUCAGACAGCGCUGAUCAAACGCUGGCUCUGAGGACGGACAUCACUGACACACAACAACAGGAAAGAGGGAAACCAUUUCAAGUGUGCAGACGUUCAUGGUUCAACUACACUCACCAGGAACUCAGGUUGGAUUCAGGGUCGUCUUUGGCCCUGAGGCCUCAGAAUGAACGGGUUCUGCUCCUCCUGUGGCUCAUCACUCAGCACAGCAUCAAG